rnacentral:ncRNA from 2 species
AUGAGAAUAAGAGGAGAGACUGCAUUUUUUGCAGCGCCGACGGAGCAAGCGGAAACGUGAAUCUCUCAGGCAAAAAGACUCUUAAUUUGAC